CCCUGGUUAGCUCAGUUGGUAGGGCGUUCCACCUGUAAUGGAGAAGUUCCGGGCUCGAUACCCGGACCGGACG
rfam:Ixodes scapularis strain Wikel colony gcontig_1108378282628, whole genome shotgun sequence.